rnacentral:lncRNA from 1 species
GGGAAAUGAGUUUUACAUUGUAUUUUUAAGAUAUGAUUACUUAUUUGCAAUGCAUUAUGCGGUGUGGUCCCCUAUUUCAUUUUGAAAUGUGUAGAAUUUGUGCUCCCCUAUUUGUGUUUUUUUGGUGGUGGGGGAUCUUAGUUUGUCCCUCAUUUGCGUCUUUGAGUGGUAACCAGUAUAAUAUGUUUAAUAUUUUGUGGG